rnacentral:rRNA from 1 species
UACGUAGGGGGCUAGCGUUGUUCGGAUUUACUGGGCGUAAAGCGCACGUAGGCGGGUUGUUAAGUCAGGGGUGAAAUCCUGGAGCUCAACUCCAGAACUGCCUUUGAUACUGGCAACCUAGAGGCUGGAAGAGGUUAGUGGAAUUCCCAGUGUAGAGGUGAAAUUCGUAGAUAUUGGGAAGAACACCAGUGGCGAAGGCGGCUAACUGGUCCAGAUCUGACGCUGAGGUGCGAAAGCGUGGGGAGCAAACAGG